rnacentral:rRNA from 1 species
UCGUAACAAGGUCUCCGUUGGUGAACCAGCGGAGGGAUCAUUGCUGGAACGCGCCCCUGGCGCACCCAGAAACCCUUUGUGAACUUAUACCUUACUGUUGCCUCGGCGCAGGCCGGCCCCCCCCAGGGGGGCCCCUCGGAGACGAGGAGCAGGCCCGCCGGCGGCCUAGUUAACUCUUGUUUUUACACUGAAACUCUGAGAAACAAAACAUAAAUGAAUCAAAACUUUCAACAACGGAUCUCUUGGUUCUGGCAUCGAUGAAGAACGCAGCGAAAUGCGAUAAGUAAUGUGAAUUGCAGAAUUCAGUGAAUCAUCGAAUCUUUGAACGCACAUUGCGCCCUCUGGUAUUCCGGAGGGCAUGCCUGUUCGAGCGUCAUUUCAACCCUCAAGCCUGGCUUGGUGAUGGGGCACUGCCUGUAAAAGGGCAGGCCCUGAAAUUCAGUGGCGAGCUCGCCAGGACCCCGAGCGCAGUAGUUAAACCCUCGCUCUGGAAGGCCCUGGCGGUGCCCUGCCGUUAAACCCCCAACUUCUGAAAAUUGACCUCGGAUCAG